GUGAAGCGGCAACAGCUCAAAUUUGAAAUCUGGCUUCGGCCCGAGUUGUAAUUUGUAGAGGAUGCUUUAGGCGCGGCUCCUUCUGAGUGCCCUGGAACGGGACGCCACAGAGGGUGAGAGCCCCGUAUAGUUGGAAGCCUAGCCUGUGUAAAGCUCCUUCGACGAGUCGAGUAGUUUGGGAAUGCUGCUCAAAAUGGGAGGUAAAUUUCUUCUAAAGCUAAAUACCGGCCAGAGACCGAUAGCGCACAAGUAGAGUGAUCGAAAGAUGAAAAGCACUUUGAAAAGAGGGUUAAAUAGCACGUGAAAUUGUUGAAAGGGAAGCGCUUGUGACCAGACUUGCGCCGGGCUGAUCAUCCGGAGUUCUCUCCGGUGCACUCUGCCCGGCUCAGGCCAGCAUCGGUUCUCGCGGGGGGAUAAAGGCCUCGGGAACGUAGCUCCUCCGGGAGUGUUAUAGCCCGGGGCGUAAUGCCCUCGCGGGGACCGAGGUUCGCGCAUCUGCAAGGAUGCUGGCGUAAUGGUCAUCAGCGACCCGUCUUGAAACACGGACCAAGGAGUCAAGGUUUUGCGCGAGUGUUUGGGUGUAAAACCCGCACGCGUAAUGAAAGUGAACGUAGGUGAGAGCUUCGGCGCAUCAUCGACCGAUCCUGAUGUAUUCGGAUGGAUUUGAGUAGGAGCGUUAAGCCUUGGACCCGAAAGAUGGUGAACUAUGCUUGGAUAGGGUGAAGCCAGAGGAAACUCUGGUGGAGGCUCGCAGCGGUUCUGACGUGCAAAUCGAUCGUCAAAUCUGAGCAUGGGG
rnacentral:rRNA from 1 species